CAGGCACAAGAACGUUCCGUAGGUGAACCUGC
rnacentral:rRNA from 1 species